rnacentral:lncRNA from 10 species
GCAAGUCCUAAGCCCAACCGCCUGAUCUCAGGAAAUUCCUCACUUAGCAACAGCUAACCACCCUGCCCACCCCACUUCACAACAAGCCCAGAUCUCUCCCACCCGGACCUAAACUUACCCAGUCUGUAAGCGGGGGCGGGCUCUGGCCUUAGUUGGUGUCCCCCUCCGCGGGUGUUUGUUCGGUAAACCUGUGUUGCUGUAGAGCCGCCUCCGUCCGUUUUUCCUCCCGUUCCUGCGCUAACAAUGACAUUAUACCAAAUGUAACUGUCCCUAGGUAGCAAACUGCAACUUAACUUCAUAUGAAAACAAUCUACAACUGUAACAUAUUCUGUAACAAAUAACUGAGACUCAGUUAAUUAUAGCAGCUGGGCUUUAACCAGUCAUGGGAUGACAACUGAUCAGACCAUGUAUCUGUAUAAGGCAAGUGCUUCAUCACACCGUGGCUGAAUCAGGUAUUCCACAAGAAGAGAGUUCAAGUGGAAAGAGAAAAGUCAUGUUACAUAAGAUUGUCUCUAAUCAGUCAACCACUGGAGUCAGAUAAAAAUAGAAGAUGAAAAUCUGUCAGAUGAAAUUUCACUUUGGAAAUAUUGUUUGUGUUCUUCAAAUGUAUAAGAUUUGUGUUUCUAUCCACAAAUUGUGUAUACAGCAGCACAUUAAAAGAGGUUGAAAGUGCCCAAUGAAUUAAGUAAUAAAAGUGGUAUUUAAAGUGAACUUCAGUGGAAAUGAACCUGCAUAUGAUUGAAGAAAGGAAACGAUGAUGGUGAGGACAACAUGUGGUGACCCACAGGAACAUAAUCAUGUUAACUCCUGACUCUGCAAAAACUUAGCACGUGGCAUUGUUUUUAGCAUCUUCUAAGAAGCCGACAUUGAUUAAAUAGACAUUUGUUUGACUGCAUUAGAUUGCUUCUGGUUGGUUUGUUCUUUCUUCCACUAAAUUUACCAAAGAAUGUACUAGAGUAGUGUGAAAUUGGAAGUCUGGUAACUGAUCAGCAUCACCUCCACUGCUGCAUACACUAAUAACUUCAACUCAUAUUUGGUAGU